UCGACCCGUCAGUUCCCCAAACAUCAUCAGGAGAACCGGCGAGUCCCGGCCACACGUGUGCAGCAAUAGCACAGGCUCCGAGGCUGUAGACGUACCCGGAAGUGAAGUGGACGGAGGCCAAAGGGCGUUCUGCAGGAGAAAGGGUGCAGAGGAAGGAAAGGGGGUUCUCUGGAGAGUCCACCGGGAGCAGUAAGGACAAUUGGCUUGGGCAAACAUGGUGGAAGAGAAAGAGCGUGGCCUGUGUCGGUUAGGCCAGAGGUUACGGCUGAAGCCGCCAAGGUUUUGUGUUUUUGUUUUGCUUUGUUUUAUUUUGACACAGGGUCUCACUAUUUAGUUCGGUCUGUUGGGCUUGAGCUUACAGCAAUCCUCCUGCCUCAGCCUCUCAAGUGCCGGUAUUACAGCAGACGUGUUUCUCAUCUACUUGCCCAUCUGAGGCUGGAAAGGAAGAAGAGCGCCCUCUUUCAUUCCUGUGGCCUCCCUUUCUGCUUUGAGUAGACAAGGCUGCCAGCAGCACCCUUCACCUUUACCAAGGGGUCCUGGUUCUUGGCCCUGGGUCAGCUGUAGGUUUAAUCCAGUCGGAGAGCGUGAUCGGCUGCUUCUAUAGACCAGAGACAGGUAAGAGCUGGGAGGGAGGUGGGAAGCCUGAAGAAGUCCCGCAGACAGCACAGGCAAGAGCAGACGUCACUCAUCGGCUUCUAGAUACAAGGUGUGUAGCUCAGUGUCUGCCGUAUGCUUGCCUACCGUGUACAGGGAGGGCCCUGGGCUUAUUCGCUCCUCCACCCUCCAAAACGGAAAAGGAAAAUCUAGGACCCUGGGGCCUGGAGUUCCAAGCUACUUGUGAGGCCAAGGCAUCAUGGCCAGUGGAGGCCAGUAGGAGCUUGGGGAAAAAAACGAGAAGUUUGGUUUCGCUCUUUGUUUGUUUGUUUUAGAUCGGCUAGCUCCUAGAGGACAAAGAUUUACUCUGAGAAGCUGAGUGUGGAGCUCACACCUGUAAUGCAAACACCCGAGAGGCUGAGGCCGAGGAACAGAAGCAAAUGACUGGGCUCUGGUGAGAGAAACCGAUCCGUUUUCAGCAAUAAAGAUCAUCCUGCAUCAGAAUCUCCCAAAUGGCCUAAGAAUGGGUCUCAGGCAGUUUGGCCCUUGUUUUUCAAGGGUAGGGAUCUUUAAAAAAUGUCUGUGUUUCCCAUGCCCAGACUUCUGUCUCUUGUCUCUUGAGUAAGGGUUGUACUUCCUGCCACACAGACAGACCAUGAUGAGAGGUGAACUGUGCUUCCCCUCUGAGUGCUCUGGCUUUGGCUUUCUUGGGUCACUCAUCCAGAGGGAAGCAGGCUGCCAUGUGUUGCCAGGUGAGAUGGAAAAAGUCACAUCGCAAAGACACACACACACACACACACACACACACACACACACACACACACAAGCGUGCAGAUUC